ACUAAUUACAGGAAGAAUAUGAGAGCAUAUCUUAACACAUAUGUCACGGAGAAAUUUUAAAUAAAUUAGGCGCAAAGGAAUUGAAGUUUGUUGUCAAUUAUCACUACUUAGAAGAAGACAAUGGAACCGAAUAUGUCUAUUUGGUAGAAUGUGACAGACCUUAGUGACUUAAUGCAUGUAUGUUUUGAAUUCUGUAUAUUGCCGUUGCAAAAUUUUUUAGUUAGUGCACAUCCUGUAAAACUUGAAGAAGGCAAGGGAAAGAAAAGCGAAGCUGUUAUUGAUUACCCUGAUCUUAACGACGAGAUUAAAGAUUUGCCAGAUAUACAAAAAUAGUGAAGAGUACCUACGAAUCAUGGUGAUUCAGAGACUUUGGCAUAUUUUUAUCGUAUGGUAAAAAGAAGCUUAUAGCUUAUUAUGUUGUCAAACUUGUAAAGAACACAUAUGCGAUAGUAAAUAUUGCGUAUCCUUUGCUUUAAGUCAGCAAAUGCUUUCAAAUCGUAUACAUUAAUGCUGAAAUUUUGAUUUUAGGCUUGAGUAAAACUGUAAAUAAUGUGCAUUAAAUGUAGAAAGUAUUAAAAGGAAAACAUACUAUAGUAAAAAGUAAAAGUACUGCGUACCAUUCGAAGGCAUAACCAAAUACCUAUAGUUAACAUAAUUUUUUGAAAAUCCUCUUUCGAUAUGGUAAAAA